GGAGCUUUAUGUAAGGGAACUUGGUCAAUUUCGUCAUAACCGCCUCAACCUCUCCCUCUUUCGAUGCAGAACGCCGACCAUGACGCUACCUCACCAACCGGUAACUUUUCGACGGCGUACAACCAUCAACCGGACCGCUUUGGUUGCUUCGACCGGCGACCGUAGGAGGAGGAACGACGCCGAGAAGCUCUGAGUUUCUCUGGCGAUUUCUGCAAUUCCCGGCAACUCCGUCCACCAAUUUGACUGCAUGUGGAUUUUCCGGUUUUGGUGAUGCUAGCGAUACCGACGGACUCUUCCGACGCUUUCUAGGUUGCUUGCUAAUUGAAUGGCGAUCAAUCCUUCAAGCUUUGUAAGUCUGGAAAUUAGUAAGGUGGUGGAGAGAAGGCAACGUUCCUAGCUACUGUGUUUAUCGUUGGAAAGCAAAUUAGGAACUUGGUUCCUGAAUUGAUAAAAAGGAACAAGUGGUUCUCAUUUCUGUUCGCAUUGAUAGGUAAAAAUGGGUUUGGUUUCCAGGACGGCUCUCCCAAUCAAAGGGAAAUUGUUCUGUUACGUGAAUAUGCUGCAAAGAGUCCUUUUACAAUCUCUAAGAUAACCAAACAUAUUGAAGAUAUGUGUUACAAAGAGCUAGGAAUUGAGCAUGUCAAAUUCAUCAAUAUUGUUGCAGAGGCCUACAACAAGUUACUUUACCUCUAUGGGGAAGUUAUGGAAACCAAAUCUGGAAGCUGGAGGAAGGUAAAGGGCUAGAGCUAUGAUGGAGAAGUUAUAGAAACUCCAUUCUUCACUUGAAUUAGACAAAAUGCCAUUUGUGUUGUCAUGAGUGUUGUUGUGCUAGAGUUCAUUGCAGUGUAGAAGAACAUUUGAGGAGGCUGCAACAUUCUUAAUCAAGGUCAUGUGCUGCUAUGAUGGAGAUGAUAAGACAGAGAGCGAUAAACAAUUUUGGGGACUCCAACUACUCGAGGAGCGGAAGGCUUGAG